GAAGGUCAUAGAGAUUGUAACCUA
rnacentral:siRNA from 1 species